UACAAAACAUAUUACAACAUGGAAUAAUGUGCAUGUUUCACAUGUCGCUUUCCUUCACAUAUUGCUUUUUAAAAGGUCUAACAUAUCAGCUGUGCAAUACAACAUGCAGUAUGCUUAAUACAUUUUUCUUCAAUACAAUAUGCAUGAAAUUGUUCAAAGUACAAGGUGGAGAAAGUAAAGCCUAAAAACUGCAGUGCAUGCAGUUCAUGUAAUAUUUGAUAGAGUGCAUUUCCUUUUAACAGAUCCAUCAUUUCUUAUCCAGUUUCUGUUUCUGUUGAUAAGACGCAGUUCCUCUCUGCACUCCACCAGAGAGAUGUCCACUCACUAACAGGUUGUCUUCAGGUUGUUGGGCUGUUCGUGACGUUUGGCCGGAGAUACCAACAUGCUCCUCUACUGCAUCGGACCGUCUUCAGCCUAUGAGUACUACAAACAGUGUCGGACUCUGGAUCAUAAACAAAAACCAUAACAAUGAGGACUGGAACGAAUGAAUACAUUGUUACUACAACUCUAACAACAAGCCUCCAUUAUAGAAAUGUGGAGUUUCAGAGAUAUUAACACGAAAAUAAUCAUUUUUGGAGCUUGAAUCUUCGAUGAAUCCUUGGAAGGAUCGGGAGAUGGAGGUUAGGCAGGAGAUUCAUCCUCAACCAGACUGGUUCUAAUAUAUACAAAGAGGCAAUAAAAGGAUUAAAACAUGCUGCAAAACGUAUAUAAGACAACAGCGGGAAUAAUGCUUUCAACAUAAAAAAGAUCUGUUCAAGUUAGCCAAGAAUUUGACUGACUCUUCACCGGCUCGAUUUUUUUCCAACACUUGUACUCCGCUAACAUUCAGCAUGCUAAGCUAAAAAUGCUAACACCGAGCCGUGUGGCGAACGUGACGUCUAUCAUACAGGUUGAGCUCAACUCAAAAUAAUAGUUAUAAACCAUCUCAGGAAAAAAGAAAAAGAAAUAACUUACCAAGUGCAGUAAAUAACUCAGACAGGUGGAAAGUAAAUAGUCCUGAAAUGACUUGGCUUCUUCACUUCGCUUCGGUGGGAAUCUGUGAUUCUGGGGCGGAGGCAGUGAAUUAACUCCUUCAGUGUUAGAGCCGCUGGUGGAGUUCAGAGUUAAGAAGUCAAGAGUUAUUGAUUCUAUUUUAACACCUCUAGAUUUAAUAGGGAAACACUUUGUUUUAACACUGGAUUUUAACUACUA